rnacentral:lncRNA from 1 species
AUGGUGCAUAAUUAAGGGACAUUAAAGGCAAAUAUUAAGUCAAGCUAAAGUGAUGGAUUUGUGCUCGAGAAUCUCUAUGGCGUCAACAUUAUCGCAAAGAGAGGCUUAGUAAUCGAAAAAUUGAGGUAAAUGCAGGACACGAUUAGAGACUCCCCCGGGACUUUCAAGUA